AACGAACGCUGGCGGCAGGCUUAACACAUGCAAGUCGAACGCCCCGCAAGGGGAGUGGCAGACGGGUGAGUGACGCGUGGGAAUCUACCCAUCCCUACGGAAUAACGCAUGGAAACGUGUGCUAAUACCGUAUACGCCCUACGGGGGAAAGAUUUAUCGGGGAUGGAUGAGCCCGCGUUGGAUUAGCUAGUUGGUGGGGUAAAGGCCUACCAAGGCGACGAUCCAUAGCUGGUCUGAGAGGAUGAUCAGCCACAUUGGGACUGAGACACGGCCCAAACUCCUACGGGAGGCAGCAGUGGGGAAUAUGGGACAAUGGGCGCAAGCCUGAUCCAGCCAGGCCGCGUGAGUGAUGAAGGCCUUAGGGUUGUAAAGCUCUUUCACCGGAGAAGAUAAUGACGGUAUCCGGAGAAGAAGCCCCGGCGAACUUCGU
rnacentral:rRNA from 1 species